CCUACGGGAGGCAGCAGUGGGGAAUAUUGCACAAUGGGCGGAAGCCUGAUGCAGCGACGCCGCGUGAGGGAUGACGGCCUUCGGGUUGUAAACCUCUUUCAGUAGGGAAGAAGCGAAAGUGACGGUACCUGCAGAAGAAGCGCCGGCUAACUACGUGCCAGCAGCCGCGGUAAUACGUAGGGCGCAAGCGUUAUCCGGAAUUAUUGGGCGUAAAGAGCUCGUAGGCGGUUUGUCGCGUCUGCCGUGAAAGUUCCGGGGCUCAACUCCGGAUCUGCGGUGGGUACGGGCAGACUAGAGUGAUGUAGGGGAGACUGGAAUUCCUGGUGUAGCGGUGAAAUGCGCAGAUAUCAGGAGGAACACCGAUGGCGAAGGCAGGUCUCUGGGCAUUAACUGACGCUGAGGAGCGAAAGCAUGGGGAGCGAACAGGAUUAGAUACCCUGGUAGUCCAUGCCGUAAACGUUGGGCACUAGGUGUGGGGGACAUUCCACGUUUUCCGNGCCGUUAGCUAACGCAUUAAGUGCCCCGCCUGGGGNGACGCGCAGNAACACAGAGAGAG
rnacentral:rRNA from 1 species